rnacentral:rRNA from 1 species
GAUGAACGCUGGCGGCGUGCCUAAUACAUGCAAGUCGAGCGAACAGACGAGGAGCUUGCUCCUUUGACGUUAGCGGCGGACGGGUGAGUAACACGUGGAUAACCUACCUAUAAGACUGGGAUAACUUCGGGAAACCGGAGCUAAUACCGGAUAACAUGUUGAACCGCAUGGUUCAACAGUGAAAGACGGUCUUGCUGUCACUUAUAGAUGGAUCCACGCCGCAUUAGCUAGUUGGUAAGGUAACGGCUUACCAAGGCAACGAUGCGUAGCCGACCUGAGAGGGUGAUCGGCCACACUGGAACUGAGACACGGUCCAGACUCCUACGGGAGGCAGCAGUAGGGAAUCUUCCGCAAUGGGCGAAAGCCUGACGGAGCAACGCCGCGUGAGUGAAGAAGGUCUUCGGAUCGUAAAACUCUGUUAUUAGGGAAGAACAAAUGUGUAAGUAACUAUGCACGUCUUGACGGUACCUAAUCAGAAAGCCACGGCUAACUACGUG